CCUACGGGGGGCUGCAGUGGGGAAUAUUGGACAAUGGGGGGAACCCUGAUCCAGCCAUGCCGCGUGUGUGAAGAAGGCCCUCGGGUUGUAGAGCACUUUCAGUGAGGAAGAACGCCUGGUGGUUAAUACCCAUCAGGAAAGACAUCACUCACAGAAGAAGCACCGGCUAACUCCGUGCCAGCAGCCGCGGUAAUACGGAGGGUGCGAGCGUUAAUCGGAAUUACUGGGCGUAAAGCGCGCGUAGGUGGCUUGAUAAGCCGGUUGUGAAAGCCCCGGGCUCAACCUGGGAACGGCAUCCGGAACUGUCAAGCUAGAGUGCAGGAGAGGAAGGUAGAAUUCCCGGUGUAGCGGUGAAAUGCGUAGAGAUCGGGAGGAAUACCAGUGGCGAAGGCGGCCUUCUGGACUGACACUGACACUGAGGUGCGAAAGCGUGGGUAGCAAACAGGAUUAGAUACCCUGGUAGUC
rnacentral:rRNA from 1 species